rnacentral:rRNA from 1 species
UGGGGAAUAUUGGACAAUGGGCGAAAGCCUGAUCCAGCCAUGCCGCGUGUGUGAAGAAGGUCUUUUGGUUGUAAAGCACUUUAAGUGGGGAGGAAAAGCUUAUGGUUAAUACCCAUAAGCCCUGACGUUACCCACAGAAUAAGCACCGGCUAACUCUGUGCCAGCAGCCGCGGUAAUACAGAGGGUGCAAGCGUUAAUCGGAAUUACUGGGCGUAAAGCGCGCGUAGGUGGUUAUUUAAGUCAGAUGUGAAAGCCCCGGGCUUAACCUGGGAACUGCAUCUGAUACUGGAUAACUAGAGUAGGUGAGAGGGGAGUAGAAUUCCAGGUGUAGCGGUGAAAUGCGUAGAGAUCUGGAGGAAUACCGAUGGCGAAGGCAGCUCCCUGGCAUCAUACUGACACUGAGGUGCGAAAACGUGGGUAGCAAACAGGAUUAGAUACCCUGGUAGUCCACGCCGUAAACGAUGUCUACCAGUCGUUGGGUCUUUUAAAGACUUAGUGACGCAGUUAACGCAAUAAGUAGACCGCCUGGGGAGUACGGCCGCAAGGUUA